rnacentral:rRNA from 1 species
CUACGGGUUGCACCAGUGGGGAAUAUUGCACAAUGGAGGAAACUCUGAUGCAGCAACGCCGCGUGGAGGAUGACACUUUUCGGAGCGUAAACUCCUUUUAUAUAGGAAGAAGAUGACGGUACUAUAUGAAUAAGCGCCGGCUAACUCCGUGCCAGCAGCCGCGGUAAUACGGAGGGCGCAAGCGUUACUCGGAAUCACUGGGCGUAAAGAGCGUGUAGGCGGAUUAAAAAGUCAGAAGUGAAAUCCUAUAGCUUAACUAUAGAACUGCUUCUGAAACUCUUAAUCUAGAAUACGGGAGAGGUAGAUGGAAUUUCUGGUGCAGGGGUAAAAUCCGUAGAGAUCAGAAGGAAUACCGAUUGCGAAGGCGAUCUACUAGAACAUUAUUGACGCUGAGACGCGAAAGCGUGGGGAGCAAACAGGAUUAGAUACCCCUGUAGUC